rnacentral:rRNA from 1 species
CAAAAACAUCACCUUCUGCUAACCCAUAGAAGGCCCAGCCUGCCCGGUGACAAAGUUUAACGGCCUCGGUACCCUAACCGAGCGAAGGUAGCAUAAUCACUUGUUCUUUAAAUAGGGACCUGUAUCAACGGCAUCACGAGGGUUGAACUGUCUCCCCUUUUUAAUCAGUGAAUCUGACCUCUUCGUGAAGAAGCGAAGAUAUAAAUAUAAGACGAGAAGACCCCAUGGAGCUUCAAACAAAGUAACACCCUCUUCUACCCCUACCAUAAUAAACAAGAGCCCUGUUAACUAGCUUUUGGAUGGGGCAUCCAAGGAGUAUAAUCUAACCUCCCUGACAACUUAUCUCAGAGCUACUACUCUAAGAAACAGCAAACUGAUGUAAUAUGACCCGAUUAUCGAUCAACGAACCAAGUUACCCUGGGGAUAACAGCGCAAUCCAUUUCAAGAGUCCUUAUCGACAAAUGGGUUUACGACCUCGAUGUUGGAUCAGGGUACCCCAGUGGUGCAGCCGCUACUAAAGGUUCGUUUGUUC